GACGAACGCUGGCGGCGUGCUUAACACAUGCAAGUCGAACGGAAAGGCCCUGCUUGCAGGGUACUCGAGUGGCGAACGGGUGAGUAACACGUGGGUGAUCUGCCCUGCACUUCGGGAUAAGCCUGGGAAACUGGGUCUAAUACCGGAUAGGAGCCAUUUUUAGUGUGAUGGUUGGAAAGUUUUUUCGGUGUAGGAUGAGCUCGCGGCCUAUCAGCUUGUUGGUGGGGUAAUGGCCUACCAAGGCGGCGACGGGUAGCCGGCCUGAGAGGGUGGACGGCCAAAUUGGGACUGAGAUACGGCCCAGACUCCUACGGGAGGCAGCAGUGGGGAAUAUUGCACAAUGGGCGCAAGCCUGAUGCAGCGACGCCGCGUGGGGGAUGACGGCCUUCGGGUUGUAAACUCCUUUCGCUAGGGACGAAGCUUUUGUGACGGUACCUAGAUAAGAAGCACCGGCUAACUACGUG
rnacentral:rRNA from 1 species